rnacentral:lncRNA from 1 species
UCAGCUCCUGCCCUGUGGCCCACCCCAUCCAGCCUCCUACUGGGGGGACCCCUGAGCCCCAUUAGGCUGCUCCUCCAGCCUUCCACUUCCAGGCUUCUCCUGGAAGAAGCAUGCUCCAUUAUCUACCUGCAUGGUGACGCCCCAACCAAGUCACAUGAGGCACCAUCAGUGCCUUGCUCCCAAGAACUCUCUUGUUAAAGUCUGCUUUAGAGGUGGCACGGAGUAGGCUCACAGGUUUUCUGCAGCUCAGCAAGCCUUCAGCCAGAUCAUGAGACAUCACCCUGCACCUGUGAUAGGCUCCACACUCUACAAGCCAGCUGCCCUUCACUUGACUUCCAAGCAGGGGAAAGCAGCUGUGGCUGUAUAUGAUGUCUCACGAGUUGUGCCUGCACAAGAAUUGGAAGAAGAGUGGCAGAGACCAGCCUCAUGCCCCACCCCC